ACGGAAGGCAGCAGUGGGGAAUAUUGGGCAAUGGGGGAAACCCUGACCCAGCGACGCCGCGUGAGUGAAGAAGUAUUUCGGUAUGUAAAGCUCUUUAAGCGGGGAAGAUAAUGACGGUACCUGCAGAAUAAGCACCGGCUAAAUACGUGCCAGCAGCCGCGGUAAUACGUAUGGUGCAAGCGUUAUCCGGAUUUACUGGGUGUAAAGGGAGUGUAGGUGGUUUGGCAAGCCAGAAGUGAAAACCCGGGGCUCAACUCCGUGGAUUGCUUUUGGAACUGUUGGACUAGAGUGCAGGAGGGGUAAGCGGAAUUCCCAGUGUAGCGGUGAAAUGCGUAGAUAUUGGGAGGAACACCAGAGGCGAAGGCGGCUUACUGGACUGUAACUGACACUGAGGCUCGAAAGCGUGGGGAGCAAACAGGAUUAGAUACCCUGGUA
rnacentral:rRNA from 1 species